CUACAUGUAAAUGGGACUGAUAGUACUGUACUAUUUAUGGAUUUACCGACACUUUCCACGGGAAAUCCCGGCCCCGAAAGGAAUACGAUGGAGAGGAUUAUGAUCACUGUUGAUAUCAACUUAAAAGUAUAGCUCUUGCCAUCAAGAUGGUACAUUCUGGUAUAGGACCACCAACCCAUAGCAGACCAGGGGAUCUUGAUUUCAGCAAAAUAGUGAUAAUGAUAGAUUCAUCAGUACAGAGUACAAGGUAUAUGAAUGUGAAGUCCAGACCAUUCAUGCUGAUGAUGAUUCAACUACUGCAGAUCGACGGCAGAAUGACUUUCCAUCCCUUCCAGAAAAGAGCAGGACAAGAAUCGCUUGUUGAAAAUAAACUAACAUAGUCAAUAGACUACUUUUCUUUGUCAGCUUUAUAUUACCGGGUACAUGUAUCUCUUGAUUGAGUGUUACAUUUAAAGUGGAAACUAAUCACUCCACAUAUAGAUUUUUUUUUUCCAUUUUUCAUAUUUAAUCUACCCUGUUUUAUGUCUGGUGUGGUAAUAGAUCACUCCACAUGCAGUCUUUCAUGUUUAAUGUACUAUGUUAUGUAUUGUAUACGUCAGUUGCAGUAUUACACUGCUGUAGAGUGUAGAUUAUUCUUUUUUUAAAAAAAUGUAUGCAUAAUUUAAUGUCGACUUGUGAUGUCGGGUUUAGUAAUAGGCCAAUCAACAGAUAUUCUCUAUUAUGCAUAAUCUACACUGUGAGUGUUUUUCAGGCUUUUUAAUAAGCUGCUCCAGAUAUUCAUGUAGAAUCUUUUUUUUUUUAACUUUUUAUAUAAAAUGUCCUGCAUCAAGUGUUAUGUCCCAGUGCAGC